AUGAACGCUGGCGGCGUGCUUAACACAUGCAAGUCGAACGAUUAAAGCUCACUUCGGUGAGUGUAUAGAGUGGCGAACGGGUGAGUAACACGUGGGAAACCUGCCCCUUUCUUCGGGAUAACUUCGGGAAACCGUUGCUAAUACCGGAUACUCCGGGAUGGUCGCAUGGCCGACCCGGGAAAGCUUUAUGUGGAAAGGGAUGGUCCCGCGACCCCAUUAGCUUGUUGGUGGGGUAAUGGCCUACCAAGGCAAUGAUGGGUAGCCG
rnacentral:rRNA from 1 species